UACGUAGGGGGCAAGCGUUGUCCGGAAUUAUUGGGCGUAAAGAGCGCGUAGGCGGUCCGGUAAGUCGGUUGUGAAAGUCGGGGGCUCAACCCUCGGAUGCCGAUCGAUACUGUCGGGCUAGAGUCCGGAAGAGGCGAGUGGAAUUCCUGGUGUAGCGGUGAAAUGCGCAGAUAUCAGGAGGAACACCAAUAGCGAAGGCAGCUCGCUGGGACGGUACUGACGCUAAGGCGCGAAAGCGUGGGGAGCAAACAGG
rnacentral:rRNA from 1 species